rnacentral:tRNA from 1 species
GGGCGUGUAGCUCAGUGGUAGAGCACAUGCUUAGCAUUCACGAGGUCCUGAGUUCAAUCCCUAGUACCUCUG